AUUGAACGCUGGCGGCAGGCCUAACACAUGCAAGUCGAGCGAGCGGCGGACGGGUGAGUAAUGUAUGGGGACUGCCCGAUAGAGGGGGAUAACUACUGGAAACGGUAGCUAAUACCGCAUACUAUCGGAUAACCCAUAUGGGAUUAGCUAGGAGGUUAAGUAAUGGCUAACCUAGGCGACGAACCCUAGCUGGUCUGAGAGGAUGAUGAGCCACACUGGGACUGAGACACGGCCCAGACACCGACGGAGGCAGCAGUAGGGAAUAUUGCACAGUGGGCGCAAGCCUGAUGCAGCCAUGCCGCGUGUAUGAAGAAGGCCAUAGGGUUGUAAAGUACUUUCAGGCGGGAGGCGUUACCGACAGAAGAAGCACCGGCUAACUCCGUGCCAGCAGCCGCGGUAAUUC
rnacentral:rRNA from 1 species